CCUCCACCCUACCUCCCUUCCCCCGUCCUGAUCUCCAAGUCAGGCCCCCAGUGCCCACUGGAUUGGCCCGGCCGGUGCUUUUGCAGACCCGGCUCCUGCAGCAGGUGUGGCAGCCAGCGGCAUCUGGUGGCCAGAACACAGCACCUCCCCUGUGGAGAUCACCCAGCGUCUCCUCGGACAUCUUUACAAUGACUUCUUAGGAUAUAGUAAACGAAGACAGAUCAGCUUCUCUCCUGAUAAGAAGAGUCACCAAGAAUACCAUCAGCAAGUACUAGAUUCUGAGGCUAUCAGGCAGAACCGAUCCUAAAUAAAUUGUUGACAAGUGGAAUUUUCCCUCGAAGAUUCAUCCUCCCCUUCUCACCAUGGCCGGAGACUUCACGUAAUUCCUCAAAUAAAUAAG